rnacentral:rRNA from 1 species
GAUGAACGCUGGCGGCGUGCCUAAUACAUGCAAGUCGAGCGAACAGACGAGGAGCUUGCUCCUCUGACGUUAGCGGCGGACGGGUGAGUAACACGUGGAUAACCUACCUAUAAGACUGGGAUAACUUCGGGAAACCGGAGCUAAUACCGGAUAAUAUAUUGAACCGCAUGGUUCAAUAGUGAAAGACGGUUUUGCUGUCACUUAUAGAUGGAUCCGCGCCGCAUUAGCUAGUUGGUAAGGUAACGGCUUACCAAGGCAACGAUGCGUAGCCGACCUGAGAGGGUGAUCUGCCACACUGGAACUGAGACACGGUCCAGACUCCUACGGGAGGCAGCAGUAUGGAAUCUUCCGCAAUGGGCGAAAGCUUGACGGAGCAACGCCGCGUGAGUGAUGAAGGUCUUCGGAUAGUAAAACUCUGUUAUUAGGGAAGAACAAAUGUGUAAGUAACUAUGCACGUCUUGACGGUACCUAAUCAGAAAGCCACGGCUAAGUACGUG